UACAGAGGGUGCGAGCGUUGUCCGGAAUCACUGGGCGUAAAGCGCACGCAGGUGGCUGAGUCAGUCGAUUGUGAAAGCCCUGGGCUUAACCUGGGAAUUGCAGUCGAUACUACUCAGCUAGAGUAUGGGAGAGGGUAGUGGAAUUCCCGGUGUAGCGGUGAAAUGCGUAGAUAUCGGGAGGAACAUCAGUGGCGAAGGCGGCUACCUGGCCCAAUACUGACACUCAGGUGCGACAGCGUGGGGAGCAAACGG
rnacentral:rRNA from 1 species